CAAUGGUUUUAUUUUAUUUCAAAACACGCAAUUUUUUACCCAUUUUGCCUUUUUUAAACUUUUUUCUGUAACAGUUAUUACUCCGAUUAGUCUCCACUAGCACUAAAUGAAAAGUGCUCCACAGGCUCUCUGGCGCCCCCUGUUGGACAGGAAGAGGAAAGAGGCUCUCUAUGACGCGCCCUUAAACCAAAACAGCUGCCUGAGAACAAGUUUGUGUGCGCGUGUUUGGUUAUUUUUGUACACAACAAGAGAUGUUUUCCUAGUCUGUAAUAGGUGCAGGCAACCUAUACUACAAAUGCUGGCUGACCAAGGAACUGGAAAGAAGCCUGAACCAGCAGCAUCGAUUAAGAUUUGAGGUAACAGAAGAGGAAGAGCACAGUGUGACUGGGGGGGAUUGGAUCUGCAGACAGACCCCAAGAGAAACAUGAUGUGCAUGAUGCUGUUUUACAGUCGAUGUGAGAUCAUUUCUGGUUGGAGGGGUCCGUUGCGAAAGA